rnacentral:rRNA from 2 species
UGGGGAAUAUUGCACAAUGGGCGCAAGCCUGAUGCAGCCAUGCCGCGUGUAUGAAGAAGGCCUUCGGGUUGUAAAGUACUUUCAGCGGGGAGGAAGGGAGUAAAGUUAAUACCUUUGCUCAUUGACGUUACCCGCAGAAGAAGCACCGGCUAACUCCGUGCCAGCAGCCGCGGUAAUACGGAGGGUGCAAGCGUUAAUCGGAAUUACUGGGCGUAAAGCGCACGCAGGCGGUUUGUUAAGUCAGAUGUGAAAUCCCCGGGCUCAACCUGGGAACUGCAUCUGAUACUGGCAAGCUUGAGUUUCGUAGAGGGGGGUAGAAUUCCAGGUGUAGCGGUGAAAUGCGUAGAGAUCUGGAGGAAUACCGGUGGCGAAGGCGGCCCCCUGGACGAAGACUGACGCUCAGGUGCGAAAGCGUGGGGAGCAAACAGG